GAGCUUGAUUGCCUUAAAAAUAUUUUAAAAUAUAUAUUUUGGAAAAAAACGCCGAAUCACUCAUCGGCUGCCCGACUAGUGCCGAGUGCCAUUUAGAACAUUGGGUUGAGACGAUCGGAAAGAUAUUAGCUCGCAAGUUUUGGGAAGGGUAUGUUGGGAAGUUUCAGGUUUUUUUGGCGGUUGCAUGGAGUAAUUUGUUAAAAGUACAAUCAUAGGAUUGGGUUGUACGUAGAAAUGGGUUGUAUGGAGAAAAUAAUGGGUUGCAAAUAGAACCACCCUUAAUUAAUAUUAAGUGUUGAAUGAAGACCCUUGCUAAGAUUGUUUCUCAUACCACAAAUCAGAUGUGGCCUUAUAGGUUAUAUACCUGUGUAAUGUCAUUUUCUUAUUACUUAUAAUUUUUUUCAGUUGCAUGUACAAUUGAAUGUUUUUUAAUCUCUCUCUCUCUC